AUCCGUGACAGCUGCCUCCCAGCAUAUGAAAGACUAUUUGAAUGUGUGAUGUUUUCUUAUUUUUUAGAGGUCCUGUAAGAUGUUCUCCAUUCCUCCUUUGCUUAUUACCAGGCGAUGACUAAUAAUCACUCUAUGAAAAGUACCAUGGGGAAUAAGUUAUGACUUGUUCACUCAACAAGAUGAAAGACCCUCCCUCCUGAAAAACAGAUGCUCUUCAUGAGGGAGCAAGAGUACCGCGAAAGUCAACUCAGGGCGCUCUGGUUUCUUCUGUAACUCUCACUACCUCACCCUCACCACCACUGUACUAUUUAGAAAUUUUGAAAGAAAUACCAGACAUUGUGUCAUCUCACCUCUGUGUGUGUGUGUGUG
rnacentral:lncRNA from 1 species